AUAUCACUAAGCGGAGGAAAAGAAACUAACAAGGAUGUCCUUAGUAACGGCGAGUGAAGCGGACAUUGCUCAAAUUUUAAAUCUGGAGAUCUUGUGUCGCAAGGCAGAGGUCUUCUGAAUUGUAGUUUUUCGAUCGGCUGUCACGGGGGCAGUAUUUGGGUAUAAGUUCUUCGGAAUGAGACAUCAUAGAGGGUGAGAAUCCCGUCCAUGAUCUAAAUACUGUUUCAACACGUGUCAACCUAUUGAUGAGUCGGGUUGUUUGGGAUUGCAGCCUAAACAGGUGGUAGAUCUCAUCUAGCUAAC
rnacentral:rRNA from 1 species